rnacentral:rRNA from 1 species
UUUGAUGUGAAAGCCUUCGGCUUAACCGGAGAAGUGCAUCGGAAACUGGAUAACUUGAGUGCAGAAGAGGGUAGUGGAACUCCAUGUGUAGCGGUGGAAUGCGUAGAUAUAUGGAAGAACACCAGUGGCGAAGGCGGCUACCUGGUCUGCAACUGACGCUGAGACUCGAAAGCAUGGGUAGCGAACAGGAUUAGAUACCCUGGUAGUCCAUGCCGUAAACGAUGAGUGCUAGGUGUUGGAGGGUUUCCGCCCUUCAGUGCCGGAGCUAACGCAUUAAGCACUCCGCCUGGGGAGUACGACCGCAAGGUUGAAACUCAAAGGAAUUGACGGGGGCCCGCACAAGCGGUGGAGCAUGUGGUUUAAUUGGAAGCUACGCGAAGAACCUUACCAGGUCUUGACAUCUUGCGCCAACCCUAGAGAUAGGGCGUUUCCUUCGGGAACGCAAUGACAGGUGGUGCAUGGUCGUCGUCAGCUCGUGUCGUGAGAUGUUGGGUUAAGUCCCGCAACGAGCGCAACCCUUGUUACUAGUUGCCAGCAUUAAGUUGGGCACUCUAGUGAGACUGCCGGUGACAAACCGGAGGAAGGUGGGGACGACGUCAGAUCAUCAUGCCCCUUAUGACCUGGGCUACACACGUGCUACAAUGGACGGUACAACGAGUCGCGAACUCGCGAGGGCAAGCAAAUCUCUUAAAACCGUUCUCAGUUCGGACUGCAGGCUGCAACUCGCCUGCACGAAGUCGGAAUCGCUAGUAAUCGCGGAUCAGCAUGCCGCGGUGAAUACGUUCCCGGGCCUUGUACACACCGCCCGUCACACCAUGAGAGUUUGUAACACCCAAAGUCGGUGGGGUAACCUUUUAGGAGCCAGCCGCCUAA